GUAAAGCGUGCGCAGGCGGUUUUGUAAGACUGUCGUGAAAUCCCGGGCUCAACCUGGGAAUGGCGAUGGUGACUGCAAGGCUAGAGUUUGGCAGAGGGGGGUAGAAUUCCACGUGUAGCAGUGAAAUGCGUAGAUAUGUGGAGGAACACCGAUGGCGAAGGCAGCCCCUGGGUCAAAACUGACGCUCAUGCACGAAAGCGUGGGGAGCAAACAGGAUUAGAUACCCGUGU
rnacentral:rRNA from 1 species